GACGAACGCUGGCGGCGUGCUUAACACAUGCAAGUCGAACGCUGAAGCUCAGCUUGCUGGGUGGAUGAGUGGCGAACGGGUGAGUAACACGUGAGUAACCUGCCCUCUUCUUUGGGAUAACGCCCGGAAACGGGUGCUAAUACUGGAUAUUCACUGAUUCUCGCAUGGGGGCUGGUGGAAAGGUUUUUUCUGGUGGGGGAUGGGCUCGCGGCCUAUCAGCUUGUUGGUGGGGUGAUGGCCUACCAAGGCUUUGACGGGUAGCCGGCCUGAGAGGGUGACCGGUCACAUUGGGACUGAGAUACGGCCCAGACUCCUACGGGAGGCAGCAGUGGGGAAUAUUGCACAAUGGGCGAAAGCCUGAUGCAGCGACGCCGCGUGAGGGAUGGAGGCCUUCGGGUUGUAAACCUCUUUCGCUCAUGGUCAAGCCGCAGCUUGGGGUUGUGGUGAGGGUAGUGGGUAAAGAAGCGCCGGCUAACUACGUG
rnacentral:rRNA from 1 species